rnacentral:lncRNA from 1 species
ACCAUGUUUUUUAGCAAGACGGCUCCACUCACAAGGCAAGGAAGACCUAGGCCUGGCUUUUCAGUAACGUGCAGCUACGACUGGUCACCUGACUUGUGGCCUCCAUCCAGCCCAGACUGCAAUCCUCUCAACUAUUACAUGUGGAGCAUGGUUGAGGCAAAGCUCAAUAAAACUCAUCAUAAUAUGAAGGACUCCCUGGAAGUUUUUAUCCUACAGUACAAGUGGUGAAGAAUUUAGACAGAGAAGAGGUGAAGCAUUCCUGCAGUAGAUUUAGAUCCUGACUUGAAAAAGUCAUAGAAACAAAUGGCAGCUAUAUCAAAUGAUUUCGAUUAUUUACAAUGC